rnacentral:tRNA from 3 species
GGGCCGGUAGCUCAGGUGGUUAGAGCGCACGCCUGAUAAGCGUGAGGUCGGAGGUUCAAGUCCUCCCCGGCCCACCA